rnacentral:tRNA from 1 species
UAGGAAGUGGUGUAAUGAAGCACUAAGAGUUUUGAUCUCUUAAGUAGGGGUUCGAUGCCCUUCUUUCUAA